rnacentral:rRNA from 1 species
AUAAUGACUCUCGGCAACGGAUAUCUCGGCUCUUACAUCGAUGAAGAACGUAGCAAAAUGCGAUACUUGGUGUGAAUUGCAGAAUCCCGUGAACCAUCGAGUCUUUGAACGCAAGUUGCGCCCGAAUCCUUUUGGCCGAGGGCACGUCUGCCUGGGUGUCACGU